rnacentral:rRNA from 1 species
CGCGGCCUAUCAGCUUGUUGGUGGGGUGAUGGCCUACCAAGGCGACGACGGGUAGCCGGCCUGAGAGGGUGACCGGCCACACUGGGACUGAGACACGGCCCAGACUCCUGCGGGAGGCAGCAGUGGGGAAUCUUGCGCAAUGGGCGAAAGCCUGACGCAGCGACGCCGCGUGGGGGAUGACGGCCUUCGGGUUGUAAACUCCUUUUACCACUCACGCAGGCUCCCAGUUUUCUGGGGGUUGACGGUAGGUGGGGAAUAAGGACCGGCUAACUACGUGCCAGCAGCCGCGGUAAUACGUAGGGUCCGAGCGUUGUCCGGAAUUAUUGGGCGUAAAGAGCUCGUAGGCGGCGUGUCGCGUCUGCUGUGAAAGACCGGGGCUUAACUCCGGUUUUGCAGUGGAUACGGGCAUGCUAGAGGUAGGUAGGGGAGACUGGAAUUCCUGGUGUAGCGGUGGAAUGCGCAGAUAUCAGGAGGAACACCGGUGGCGAAGGCGGGUCUCUGGGCCUUACCUGACGCUGAGGAGCGAAAGCAUGGGGAGCGAACAGGAUUAGAUACCCUGGUAGUCCAUGCCGUAAACGAUGGGCGCUAGGUGUGGGGACUUUCCACGGUUUCCGCGCCGUAGCUAACGCAUUAAGCGCCCCGCCUGGGGAGUACGG